CCUACGGGUGACAGCAGUGAGGAAUAUUGGUCAAUGGACGGAAGGCUGAACCAGCCAAGCCGCGUGAAGGACGAAGGUGCCAAGCAUUGUAAACUUCUUUUGUCAAGGGACAAAAUCAGGCACGAGAGCCGGGCUGAGGGUACUGGACGAAUAAGCAUCGGCUAACUCCGUGCCAGCAGCCGCGGUAAUACGGAGGAUGCGAGCGUUAUCCGGAUUUAUUGGGUUUAAAGGGUGCGUAGGCGGUGCGUUAAGUCAGGGGUAAAAGCCCCGGGCUCAACCCCGGCCGGGCCUCUGAAACUGGCUGUCUUGAGAUGUCGUGAGGUAUGCGGAAUGCGCGGUGUAGCGGUGAAAUGCUUAGAUAUUGCGCAGAACUCCGAUUGCGAAGGCAGCAUACCGGCGGCGAUCUGACGCUGAGGCACGAAAGCGUGGGUAUCGAACAGGAUUAGAUACCCCAGUAGUC
rnacentral:rRNA from 1 species